rnacentral:rRNA from 1 species
GUGGGGAAUAUUCCGCAAUGGACGAAAGUCUGACGGAGCAACGCCGCGUGAGUGAUGAAGGUUUUCGGACUGUAAAGCUCUGUUGUUUAGGACGAAAGUGCCUGUUGCAAACAGUUACAGGUAUUGACGGUACUAAACGAGGAAGCCACGGCUAACUACGUGCCAGCAGCCGCGGUAAUACGUAGGUGGCAAGCGUUGUCCGGAAUUAUUGGGCGUAAAGAGCAUGUAGGCGGGAAUCUAAGUCUGUUGUGAAAAUGCGGGGCUCAACCCCGUAUUGCGAUGGAAACUGGGUUUCUUGAGUGCAGGAGGGAAAAGGGGAAUUCGCAGUGUAGCGGUGAAUUGCGUAGAUAUUGAGAGGAACACCAGUGGCGAAGGCGCCUUUCUGGACUGUGUCUGACGCUGAGAUGCGAAAGCCAGGGUAGCGAACGGGAUUAGAAACCCUUGUAGUCC